UACGAAGGGGGGCUAGCGUUGCUCGGAAUCACUGGGCGUAAAGCGCACGUAGGCGGCUUUCUAAGUCAGAGGUGAAAUCCCGGAGCUCAACUCCGGAACUGCCUUUGAUACUGGAAAGCUUGAGUUCGGGAGAGGUGAGUGGAACUGCGAGUGUAGAGGUGAAAUUCGUAGAUAUUCGCAAGAACACCAGUGGCGAAGGCGGCUCACUGGCCCGAUACUGACGCUGAGGUGCGAAAGCGUGGGGAGCAAACAGG
rnacentral:rRNA from 1 species